rnacentral:rRNA from 1 species
GAUGAACGCUGGCGGUAUGCUUAACACAUGCAAGUCGAACGGACUCUUCGGAGUUAGUGGCGGACGGGUGAGUAACGCGUGAGAAUCUGGCUUUGGGUUCGGGACAACCACUGGAAACGGUGGCUAAUACCGGAUGUGCCGAGAGGUAAAAGAGAAAUUGCCUGAAGAUGAGCUCGCGUCUGAUUAGCUAGUUGGUGAGGUAAAGGCUCACCAAGGCAGCGAUCAGUAGCUGGUCUGAGAGGAUGACCAGCCACACUGGGACUGAGACACGGCCCAGACUCCUACGGGAGGCAGAAGUGGGGAAUUUUCCGCAAGGGGCGAAAGCCUGACGGAGCAAUACCGCGUGAGGGAAGAAGGCUCUUGGGGUGUAAAACUCUUUUCUUAGGGAAGAACAAAAUGACGGUACCUAAGGAAUCAGCAUCGGCUAACUCCGUG